rnacentral:tRNA from 1 species
GCACCCGUAGCUCAGAUGGAUAGAGCGCCAGCCUCCGAAGCUGGAGGUCACAGGUUCGAAUCCUGUCGGGUGCGCCA